GAACUAUGUGUGCUGCAUCAGAGGGCUCAGCCGCAGCCUCCCGCCGGAGAUUGGUGUAAAUACAACUAGGAACGGAGAUGCUUUUGCUCUUGUUCCCCCCAAGAGGCCUUCUCUAUAUUCAGCAUACCUCUCUAUACAUUAAGAGACGCUGUCCAGGAUGGUGGAGAAAUGAAAGCUGAAGGUUAAAAGCUUCAACACGAAGCCUGGGAAAACCCC
rnacentral:lncRNA from 1 species